rnacentral:rRNA from 1 species
UACGAAGGGUGCAAGCGUUGUUCGGAAUUAUUGGGCGUAAAGGGUUCGUAGGUGGGAAGAUAAGUCAAGUGUGAAAUCCCUGAGCUUAACUUAGGACGUGCAUUUGAAACUGUUUUUCUUGAGUAUUAGAGAGGGUCGUGGAAUUGCUGGUGUAGGAGUGAAAUCCGUAGAUAUCAGCAGGAACACCAGAGGCGAAGGCGGCGACCUGGCUAAAUACUGACACUGAGGAACGAAAGCGUGGGGAGCAAACAGG